rnacentral:lncRNA from 1 species
UGAACCCAGAUCGCCAUUCUAAGCUCCUCUCAGGCACCACUUCCCCCAUGGAGCCUCUUCUGAUUUCCUCCAAUAAGUAAAAUUUGCCCUUCGUUGACUCAGGGCGGCCCUGUGGGUGCGCUUCUUUCUGGCACUAGGCUUACUUCAGAUCGCUCAUCUGCCGUGAAGAACGACAUCGGAGCUUAGAGCUUGUUGCUCCCACCGAGAUCCUAGCCCUAAUGGAACUGAGUGCAUAUGUGUGACAUCGAGAGUGAUUUCUGGAAAGUCCAUCCCUAGCUGACUUCAAAGCAGAACUCCAAAAUAGGAAGGCCUGGCUCCAGGCCUGGGAGCAGGGUCACUUAACUCGCCCUCCAAAAGCUAUAUCUUCUUGGAAGCAAGCUGGUGGCCACUCCAGUAUUGAAAGACAGAUUCUGGCACAGGCGCAUGGGUGUACACCCAGGCUCCUCCCUGGGAAGACACUCAAACUUUCUGGGUUCCCCUUCUGUGAAACAGGAGUGAUCAACAGCCCCCACCUCAGAUAGGUGGCAGGAGGAUAAGCAGCGUUACCAGGCAGAAGUGUUGGGACUGGUGCCCAGUGGAUGGACACACAUGCCUUCUGCUAACUCACAGCAGCUGAAGGCUAAGCCCGCUCCACAGCCCUCAAGGCUGGGCCCACUCUAAAUGCAGCAAGAAAAUAAAGAAUCCAUCUAGCUACAGGAAUCCAUUCCCAGAGAGUCAAAUCUUAAACAAAUUCUAUUUAGAGUUCCUCCCAGCUAGCCACAAAGGCACCCAGUCCUCGGGGCCUCCUUCAAGACCAGCAGCGAGACUCAGCCUUUCCAGCUGCAGCCUGCAGAGGCGGGAAAUGAGGGCUGCAACACAUAACACACUCCAGCAAACUCACAGGUCGUCAUGAGGCGCAACAGAGAGAGCAAGAGCAAGAAGCAGUUCUGAGAAGCAGCACAUGCAGGCCAGGCACAGGUUGGCACCAGCUGCCAACUACAGCCCACAGUCCUGUAACACCAGGCACCUUCUCAGAGGGCACAGGAAGGGUUCCUGGGGGCCUGAGCCUGUGAAGCACAGCUCUCUAGCUGCCCUGGAGUUGAGGGCUGCCUCUUCUCAAGGUUCAGCCUUGCGCUUAGGCCAGAUAGGUGAUACCAGGACCCACCAGUCAUUUUCCACAAUCCAGCUGUCUCAUGAAGAGUCUACUCAUCCAAACCAGCAUCUAAGGUGGCACCACUGAACAUAACAAGCAGCUUUUACUAACCUUACUGAGCACAGUAUCCCAAGCCGUCUUCUACUAAUCAAUUAACUAAUUAAUGGCCUCAAGUAACACUGGCCAAAGGAAAAACAAAGUACUAAGUGUGGUACAUUUGGAGAAUAAAAAUCUUUCAAAACCAG